UGGGGGAUAUUGCACAAUGGGCGAAAGCCUGAUGCAGCGACGCCGCGUGGGGGAUGAAGGCUUUCGGGUUGUAAACCUCUUUCGCUAUCGAACAAGGCCCGCUUAGGGUGGGUUGAGGGUAGGUGGAGAAGAAGCGCCGGCUAACUACGUGCCAGCAGCCGCGGUAAUACGUAGGGCGCGAGCGUUGUCCGGUAUUAUUGGGCGUUAAGGGCUUGUAGGCGGCUUGUUGCGCCUGCUGUGAAAACGCGGGGCUUAACUUCGCGCGUGCAGUGGGUACGGGCGGGCUUGAGUGUGGUAGGGGUGACUGGAAUUCGAGGUGUAGCGGUGGAAUGCGCAGAUAUCUGGAGGAACACCGAUGGCGAAGGGAGGUCACUGGGCCAUUACUGACGCUGAGGAGCGAAAGCAUGGGUAGCGAACAGG
rnacentral:rRNA from 1 species